GAGCACGUAGGUGGGUUUGUAAGUCAGAUGUGAAAGCCUUCUGUUCAACGGAAGAAUUGCAUCUGAAACUGCGAGUCUUGAGUGUAGGAGGGGAGAAUGGAACUUCUGGUGGAGCGGUGAAAUGCGUAGAUAUCAGAAGGAACGCCGGCGGCGAAAGCGAUUCUCCGGCCUAUUAUUGACACUCAGUGUGCGAAAGCUAGGGGAGCAAACGGGAUUAGAUACCCCGGUAGUCCUAGCCGUAAACGAUGGGCACUAAGUAGAGGGGUUUU
rnacentral:rRNA from 1 species